CAGGGACAGUAGACAGUAGACAGGGACAGUAGACAGUGGACAGGGACAGUAGACAGUAGACAGUAGACAGUGGACAUAGACAGUGGACAGUAGACAGUGGACAGUAGACAGUAGACAGUAGACAGGGACAGUAGACAGUGGACAGGGACAGUAGACAGUGGACAGGGACAGUAGACAUGGACAGUAGACAGGGACAGUAGACAGUGGACAGUAGACAGUGGACAGGGACAGUAGACAGUAGACAGGGACAGUAGACAGAGACAGUAGACAGUGGACAGUAGACAGUAGACAGGGACAGUAGACAGUGGACAGUAGACAGUGGACAGGGACAGUAGUCAGUGGACAGCGUGAUGAUACUGUUUGCAACACAGGGGUUCCAGACAGAGACAGGGACAGUGGACAGGGACAGUGGACAGUGAGACAAUACUGUUUGCAACACAGGGGUCCCAGACAGGGACAGUGGACAGGGACAGUGGACAGGGACAGUGGACAGGGACAGUAGACAGUGAGACGAUACUGUUUGCAACACAGGGGUCCCAGACAGAGACAGGGACAGUGGACAGGGACAGUAGACAGUGAGACGAUACUGUUUGCAACACAGGGGUCCC
ensembl:lncRNA